AGCGCUCAGACCGAGCAUGCUGAUCGCAGUAGGUUAGCAAGUCGAACAUAUCUUCAGUGGUCAUCGAAGCCUGAUGCAUCGGUUUCCCGGGGGAAAGUUUCUUGUUUUACCCACUGCUACUCGGGUAUUUCCCGGUAAUUCAAUUGCUAUUCGAGGAAUUCGAUAAUGGCUACUGGUACAGUUAAGUGGUUCAACGACACUAAAGGCUUCGGCUUCAUUUCUCCGGACGACAACGGUGACGACCUGUUCGCUCACUUCUCCGAGAUUCAGGCUGACGGCUUCAAAUCUCUGCAGGACGGCCAGAAGGUUUCCUUCGACGUCACUCAGGGCAAGAAAGGCCUGCAGGCUUCCAACAUCAAGGUCAUCGACUGAUCUGAUGCUGGUCCAGGGCUAACGCUCUGAAUGCAGAAGAAGGCUCGCCAUUGGCGGGCCUUCUUUG
rnacentral:sRNA from 1 species